CACGUAGGGCGCAAGCGUUGUCCGGAAUUAUUGGGCGUAAAGAGCUCGUAGGCGGUCUGUUGCGUCCGCUGUGAAAACUCGGGGCUUAACCCCGAGCCUGCAGUGGAUACGGGCAGACUAGAGGUAGGUAGGGGAGAAUGGAAUUCCCGGUGUAGCGGUGAAAUGCGUAGAUAUCGAGAGGAACACCUGCGGCGAAGGCGGGUUGCUGGGACGGUACUGACGCUGAGGAGCGAAAGUGUGGGGAGCGAACAGG
rnacentral:rRNA from 1 species